CGUCCCGUCGGUUUCCGCGGGCGGGGGCGUAAGGCCGGGGGGAGCGGCCGGGGGAACUCGGCGGCCGCCGUCUUACGACAGAUCCUGGAAAGAGGAUCAAGGUGGGACCCGCCCCGCCGCGCACCGCCGGCAACCGACGGGGCGGCCCGGGCUCGGCCGCCGGGAGCACGGCGGAGAGCUGCAGGCGGUGAGGCCGGAGCGGCGAGCUCCAUCCAGCGCGGCAAACCCCGGUGCUGCGAAGGGCCCGAGGAGAAACCCCAGAGGCGGCCGCAUCCCGCCCCAUCCCGCGGCAGGUUCACCUCCAGCCGCCGCCUCCCGACGGGGCGACCGCAGCGCGGCCACAGCGGGGCUGCCCUCACGGCUCCCGGCCACUGCGUGGGGCUGGUGGGCGGGUGGGGAGGGGGGUGGAUCGGUCCCACUGACCAUUGAACGGGGCGAGGUGGCGAGCGGGGAUUGAAAUUUAGACCUCAUUUGGACUUUGCUUCCACGACACCGCGGAAAUGUGCUGACAGCAGCUUUGGCAAAAAUGGGGCUUGCUCGGGCUUUUUUUUUUUUUUUUCCAUUUUUCCCCCCCCUCCAAGCACGCCCGGAUCCUCGCGUUGCCCCACGGCUGCAUCAUCCUGCUCCAGGGCACUACGCAAACCUGCGGACGCCGCACCCGCAGCUCCGAGGGGCAGAGCGGGGCCCCGCAAAGAAACGUCGCCUUCCCCCGGGCCCAGGUUCUGGGACCCCCUUCCCCCUCGGCAAAGCUGUAACAUCGCAAACGCCCUCGCCUGCAGAAUAAAAACCGAUCCAGAGC